rnacentral:rRNA from 1 species
UACGUAGGGUGCGAGCGUUAAUCGGAAUUACUGGGCGUAAAGCGUGCGUAGGCGGUUCGCUGUGUCCGAUGUGAAAGCCCCGGGCUUAACCUGGGAACUGCAGUGAGGACUGGAUGGCUGGAGUGUGGCAGAGGGGGGUGGAAUUCCACGUGUAGCAGUGAAAUGCGUAGAGAUGUGGAGGAACACCGAUGGCGAAGGCAGCCCCCUGGGCUAACACUGACGCUCAGGCACGAAAGCGUGGGGAGCAAACAGG